rnacentral:lncRNA from 1 species
AGGGCAUGCUGUGGGAGGAACUGAAUGACAGAUUCGUCAUUCCUUAAGCAUGAGGAGGAAGGUUUUCAACCAGAAUGCUGAGUUCUUUGGGAGGUGAGCUCAGAGCUACAGGCCCCUACAUACCAGCUACCUGCCAGAGCUAGGAAUCCUCUCCAUCCUUUUUCUUUCACCACACAGCUGGCACGUGAAUCCUCGUGCAUUAGCUGUCUGGAGAACCUGAGUAACGAACAUGCUGGUACCAGGCCCAAACCUGAUGUUAUCCAAGCAGUGUGUUUCUGUGAAAGCAAUCAUUCCAAUUAAUUGAAUAAAAACAUCCUUCAGGGUGUCUGUCAGAGAAACACCUCUUGGCUCUCAGAGAGCAAAUUGGUCACUAUCCUGAUAAUACAGUGAAAGGUGCCAGUUGUUUUCUGUUUUAUUUUUUUUUUCCUCUAGAAAUGUAUCCGAUAUGGAGGGUGGAAUGAGACUGCAUGGAAGCAAAGAAUAAAGUGGAAAGCGCUAUUUAAGAAAGAGUUCCUGCCCACGUUGAACAGCCU